UGAACACGUCAGUCACUCCCAGCAACGCCCUUCGACAAGAACUAGGGUUCCGUCACUUGCUGCCGGACCCCCGGAGAGUUCCACGAAUCCGGAAGGAGUGUCUACGUCAAGUACUCAAGGCAGCGCCUGGGAGUCGCCGAUUGGGACUACCAGGUCGCCGAUUCCAGGGGUGAAUCGCUGACUCUAGGCCUCGUGGACAGUUCUGGUAGGCUUCCACUAGGCUCAUGGGGAGUCGGCGAUUGAACCUCUGGGUCGGCGAUUCCCACACCUGAAUCGCCGACUCCCAGCCGUUACUUGAGCGGACCCUCCCCAUUAAGGCAUUCCUUAAUAGGAUACCUUAAUGGGGUGGGUCCCACGCUAAUGAAUGGGGAAACGUCCCCCAAGACCCUAUAAAAGGGGUCCUUGGGGGACCUCUCCCCUCAACUCAUCCACACUUGACACACCCCAACCAGAGUAAACUAAGGAGCCCGAAUCGCCUACUCCCAAGGGAGUCGCCGAUUCCCCUCCUCUUCUGCAGGUAUAUUGACGUAGAGCGUGCGUCGUGGACUCCAAAGCCUCCGGCCCUCCUCGCAACCCCGCGAGCCUACUG
rnacentral:lncRNA from 1 species